rnacentral:rRNA from 1 species
AAGACGGUAAUAGAGGGAUUGCUAGGUUUGAGUAGAGAUGAAGGACGUGGCAAGCUGCGAUAAGCCCGGGGUAAGCGCACGCGACUUAUGAUCCCGGGAUGUCCGAAUGAGAAUCUUAUGUUUACAUACUCCGUUACAUAGGUGGCGGAGGUCGAACCGUCGGAAUUGAAGCAUCUUAGUACGACGUGGAAGAGAAAUCAAUAGAGAUUACCCAAGUAGUGGCGAACGAAAAGGUAACAGCCCAAACUGAAUCUGUUAUGGUAACUUAACAGAGAUGUGGUGUAUACGGACUCAUAUAAUGAUCCUAGAACGUAGUUGAAAUAAUCUGGAACGUUUUGGCAUAGAGGGUGAUACCCCCGUAGACGAAACGGUAUAGGAUCAGUUGAGUACCAGAGUAGAUGUCCUUGGUAGUGGGCAUCGAAUAUUAGGAGAAAGUAGCUUCUAAGGCUAAAUAUAACUCAAAACCGAUAGUGCACUAGUACCGUGAGGGAAAGCUGAAAAGUACCCCGGAAGGGGGGUGAAAAGUGCAUGAAAUCUAUUACUUACAGACGUGCAUAGCAUGAAAGGUGAUUUUUCCUUAUUGGAGGUUCUAGCAAUAGAGCUAAAGAUUUGGAGCUCAAAUCGUCAGUGUUAUGCGUUCCGUCUCGAAACACGGGCCAAGGAGCUGACUGUCAUGGCAAGACUAAACCAGACAAGGUGGAGUCGAAGGGAAACCGAGUUCUCGCAGCAUUAGCGAGGAGAAGCGUGUGAAAGUGCGUUGAGUCAUGGCGGCCAGGCUAGAAGCCAGUCGAUCUAAUCCUGAGCAAGCUGAAGGCGGGCGAAAGCCCGCUGGAGGGCUGAAGCAGUUCUGACGUGCAAAUCGUUUGUGUGACUUGGGAUUAGGGGUCAAAAACCAAUCUAGACUGGCGAUUGCUAGUUCCAACCGAAGCGUCUCGUAGGGCGUCCUUAGUGGAGAUAGCGUUUCCUGUAGAGCACUGAUAAGGAAGUAUGGGGAAGAAAUUCCUCGCUUCCCAUUCAAACUCCGAAGGGAUAUGCAUUGAAGAAGCUAGGAGACGGGUUCGUGUGACGUAAGGUUCACGACCGAGAGGGGUUUAACCCAGACCGAAGUUAAGGUCCCCAAAUUUUUGCUAAGUGUCAAGCUAAAGUGUGUGUUCGCGCCAAGACAGCAGGGAGGUAAGCUCAGAAGCAGCUAUCCUUUAAAAAGUGUGUAACAACUUACCUGCCGAGCGUGGGCGCCACAAAAACGGACGGGGCUAAAGCAAAGUACCGAUACUUUGGAUACAUGCCAAGGGGCAUGUCAUGGUAGGUUGGCGUAGUGAUUGGGUCGAAGCAGGGCGGUGACGUCCUGUGGACCAUUUUCUAUUGCAGAUCUUGGCGGCAGUAACAGCAUAGUAGAGUGAGAACCUCUACCACCGCAAGCGCAAGGGUUUCCAGGCAAUGCGUUAUCAGCCUGGAGUUAGUCGAUCCUAAGGAUUACCUCAACAGAGUAAUUCGAAAGGGAAACUGGUUAAUAUUCCAGUACCUUGCAAGUUGCGUUAUUAUCUAUAUG